UCGCCGACUUCUGCUCAGAAUUUUUGGGCUGAUGAUUCGACGAAAACGCAGCCUACGACGGAGUUCCCUCGCUCCCUUCCGGUAAAUCCCUACCCCACUCCCUGCUGUUUAUGUGGAUCCAUGGUUCGUUUUGCUCGUAUUUUGCUGCUGAUUUUUGCUUCUGAUUUUUUUCGGCGGGUGUUGCUAGGUUCAGCAAGGACAAAGGGCAUCUCCACCUGUCAGCGUUGAGAUCUCGCUUCGCUCGUGCCGUGAGUUGAUGCCGGUGGAAUGCUUGCGCUGCGCUUGCUCUUUAACUCGGUGUUUAAUUUUUUUGAUUUUUUGCUCCGCGAAAUGAUUGUUUGGGGUGGAUGUGGCUACGAGAAGGAAGCAGAGGUGAAGCGCUCUUCUCUUCGGUGUAGGGAUCUGCUCGGGCACCAUCCGGUGAGUGCUUCGUGCGGAUGUUCGGUUGUGCGCCAGCGCCAAAUGGGUGUUUUAGCCUAGGGGGAUUGGCGGGCUUUUGAUCUGUUGUGUGCGUGGUUGUUUAUGAUGUACUGGUAGUUGUAGACUUGUAGUUGCCGUGGGUUGAAUGUCGGGAUAGGUUAUGUGUUUCAGAUCGAAAUCAGAGUUGAUUGCUUACAAAAUUAUGAUUUGGUUGCUGUCGUUUUCUGAUUCCUGGUGGUCAUGUGUGUAGAUUAUGUGAUCUGGAUCUGCCCCUGGUUAUGUACCCAUUGCAUAAUUUCAUGUUUUCUAGAUCACAGAUGAAUCAACUGAAACUAAUUUAAUUCACUCUUUAUAUCAGUAAUUUUCUGUUGGCAGUACUGUAGUCUGUAGCUAUAUAGCUGAAUCAUAAAAUUUUCUUGGAUCAAAAUAUACAUGGGACAUUACAUAUGACUAGAAACCCAUGGGGAGUUUUUGAUUUGUCCAGGUGCUUCCGUUCUUCAGUUCUUGAUUUGUCCAGGUGCUUCCUUUCUUCAAAAUAUACAUGGGACAUGUAGAUAUAGAUGAGACUAAAUAAACUGAUGUGGUGUCAGUGUAUGGAUUAGUUUAUAAAUGUCUUAGAUUCAGUUUACUGUUUUUUCACCAAGCUUCAGUUUGUUUAAGACUUGCAGAUAGUGUUAAGAAACUGCAACUAACUGAUGCUAGGAACCAGGUGCAAUGAACCCCUACGAACUGUCAUUUGGUUUGUUGCACUAGGAUUUUUGUUGCCUGACUGACCUUUUGUGAAGCUAGAUUUUGAAUCAGCGUUGUAGAGAGUACACUAUCCGAUUAAUGAGUCCAUAUCUUGUUGCUUGGUACUGCAAUUGCAAUCUUGCAGCUUGGCAUUUUGUUUCAUUCGUGUGUUUUUCUUCCAUUGUUUUGACCAAUUUGCACUGCACUUUAAAUUUGAUUGCAC
rnacentral:lncRNA from 1 species